GCCAGCCCGCUCAGAAACUCAAAGGAAUUGACGGGGCCCGGCACAAGCGGAGGAGCAUGUGGUUUAAUUCGAUGAUACGCGAGGAACCUUACCUGGGCUCGAACGUAAGAUGACUGUAGGUGAAAGCUUACAUCUCUUCGGAGCAUUUUACGAGGUGCUGCAUGGUUGUCGUCAGCUCGUGCCGUGAGGUGUCGGGUUAAGUCCCAUAACGAGCGCAACCCCUACCUUUAGUUGCCAUCAGGUUAAGCUGGGGACUCUAAAGGAACUGCCUACGCAAGUAGUGAGGAAGGCGGGGAUGACGUCAAAUCAGCACGGCCCUUACGUCCAGGGCUACACACGUGCUACAAUGGCCGAUACAGAGGGCAGCUACCUGGUGACAGGAUGCAAAUCUCCAAAGUCGGUCUCAGUUCGGAUCGGAGUCUGCAACCCGACUCCGUGAAGUUGGAUUCGCUAGUAAUCGCGCAUCAGCCAUGGCGCGGUGAAUACGUUCCCGGGCCUU
rnacentral:rRNA from 1 species